rnacentral:rRNA from 1 species
GACAGCAGUCGCCGCGGGAAUACGUAGGGUGCGAGCGUUAAUCGGAAUUACUGGGCGUAAAGCGUGCGCAGGCGGUUGUGUAAGACAGGUGUGAAAUCCCCGGGCUUAACCUGGGAACUGCGCUUGUGACUGCACAGCUAGAGUAUGGCAGAGGGGGGUGGAAUUCCACGUGUAGCAGUGAAAUGCGUAGAGAUGUGGAGGAACACCGAUGGCGAAGGCAGCCCCCUGGGCCAAUACUGACGCUCACGCACGAAAGCGUGGGGAGCAAACAGGAUUAGAUACCCGCGUAGUCCCUGUCUCUUAUAC